UAACGCGAAGAACCUUUCCAGGUCUUGACUUUUUCUGCUAACCUAAGAGAUUAAGCGUUCCCUUCGGGGACGGAAUGACAGGUGGUGCAUGGUUGUCGUCAGCUCGUGUCGUGAGAUGUUGGGUUAAGUCCCGCAACGAGCGCAACCCUUAUUGUCAGUUGCCAGCAUUUAGUUGGGCACUCUGGCGAGACUGCCGGUGACAAACCGGAGGAAGGUGGGGAUGACGUCAAAUCAUCAUGCCCCUUAUGACCUGGGCUACACACGUGCUACAAUGGACGGUACAACGAGUCGCGAAACCGCGAGGUCAAGCUAAUCUCUUAAAGCCGUUCUCAGUUCGGAUUGUAGGCUGCAACUCGCCUACAUGAAGUUGGAAUCGCUAGUAAUCGUGGAUCAGC
rnacentral:rRNA from 1 species